GGCUCGAGAUUGAACGCUGGCGGCAUGCCUUACACAUGCAAGUCGAACGGCAGCACGGGAGCUUUGCUCCUGGUGGCGAGUGGCGAACGGGUGAGUAAUACAUCGGAACGUACCCUGAAGUGGGGGAUAACGUAGCGAAAGUUACGCUAAUACCGCAUAUUCUGUGAGCAGGAAAGAGGGGGAUCGCAAGACCUCUUGCUUUAGGAGCGGCCGAUGUCGGAUUAGCUAGUUGGUGAGGUAAAGGCUCACCAAGGCGACGAUCCGUAGCGGGUCUGAGAGGAUGAUCCGCCACACUGGGACUGAGACACGGCCCAGACUCCUACGGGAGGCAGCAGUGGGGAAUUUUGGACAAUGGGCGCAAGCCUGAUCCAGCCAUGCCGCGUGAGUGAAGAAGGCCUUCGGGUUGUAAAGCUCUUUCGGUGGGGAAGAAAUUGCACAGGAUAAUACCUUGUGUAGAUGACGGUACCCGCAUAAGAAGCACCGGCUAACUACGUG
rnacentral:rRNA from 1 species